rnacentral:rRNA from 1 species
AAUCAACGCUGACGGCGUGCCUCAGACAUGCAAGUCGAACGAUUAAAGCUCUCUUCGGAGAGUGCAUAGAGUGGCGCACGGGUGAGUAACACGUAAGUAAUCUACCCUCGAGUGGGGAAUAACGUCCGGAAACGGACGCUAAUACCGCAUAAUGCAGCGGCACCGCAAGGUGACAGUUGUUAAAGAUUUAUCGCUUGAGGAGGAGCUUGCGGCAGAUUAGCUAGUUGGUAAGGUAAUGGCUUACCAAGGCUACGAUCUGUAACCGGUCUAAGAGGACGGUCGGUCACACUGACACUGAAUAACGGGUCAGACUCCUACGGGAGGCAGCAGUCGGGAAUUUUGGACAAUGGAGGCAACCCUGAUCCAGCCAUGCCGCGUGGAUGAUGAAGGCCUUAGGGUCGUAAAGUCCUUUCGCCGGGGAAGAUAAUGACGGUACCCGGUAAAGAAGCCCCGGCUAACUCCGUGCCAGCAGCCGCCGUAACAC